AAGUCGUAACAAGGUUUCCGUAGGUGAACCUGCGGAAGGAUCAUUAACACGUAUCCAAACGUUAAAACCCCCCCCGUGAACCUUCAUCCUGCUCUUGUAACCCGCGUAGUUCGCAAUCUCUGAUAAAUCAUAGCCGGGUUAUUAGGGGGCAUGGGGACCCUUUGGCAAAGCUCCUGCGAGUGUACGGUCUACAGGAAUCGUAGAAGCGCUAUCCUUGCACAAUCAAUGACACUUUCCGACACUGACUGCUUGGAGAAACAUUGCCUAUAGAACUACCGCUCGAUUGUAACUGUUCCAAUGUUCGCACGUAGCCAGAGGUCUCUGAAUCACUACAACUUUCCGCACAGUUUAAUGUGAAGCUCAAUGUAAUACAUUGGGUAAAAAAACCGAACAACUGUUAACAAUGGAUAUCUUGGUUCUC
rnacentral:misc_RNA from 1 species